CCGGGUGUCCCGUGGUGGUGCUGGGUGUCCCGUGGUGAUGCCAGAUGUCCCACUGUGGUGCUGGGUGUCCCGUGGUGAUGCCGGGUGUGCCAUGGUUGUACUGCCUGUAUCGUGGUGUUGCCAGGUGUCCCGUGGUUGUGCCAGGUGUGCCACAGUGAUGCUGGCUGUCCCAUGGUGGUGUCAGGUGUGCCGUAGUGGUGCUGGCUGUGCCAGGUGGCCCACGGUGGUGCCAAGUGUCCCAUGGCU